rnacentral:rRNA from 1 species
UACGAAGGGGGCUAGCGUUGCUCGGAAUCACUGGGCGUAAAGCGCACGUAGGCGGUCUUUUAAGUCGGGGGUGAAAUCCUGGAGCUCAACUCCAGAACUGCCUUCGAUACUGGAAGACUUGAGUCCGGGAGAGGUGAGUGGAACUGCGAGUGUAGAGGUGAAAUUCGUAGAUAUUCGCAAGAACACCAGUGGCGAAGGCGGCUCACUGGCCCGGUACUGACGCUGAGGUGCGAAAGCGUGGGGAGCAAACAGGG